UACAGAGGUCUCAAGCGUUGUUCGGAUUCAUUGGGCGUAAAGGGUGCGUAGGCGGCGCGGUAAGUCGGGUGUGAAAUCUCGGAGCUUAACUCCGGAACUGCAUUCGAUACUGCCGUGCUUGAGGACUGGAGAGGAGACUGGAAUUUACGGUGUAGCGGUGAAAUGCGCAGAUAUCAGGAGGAACACCGGUGGCGAAGGCGGGUCUCUGGGCCGAUACUGACGCUGAGGAGCGAAAGCGUGGGGAGCGAACAGG
rnacentral:rRNA from 1 species